AUUGAACGCUGGCGGCAUGCCUUACACAUGCAAGUCGAACGGUAGAGGGGGCAACCCCUUGAGAGUGGCGAACGGGUGAGUAAUAUAUCGGAACGUGCCCAGUCGUGGGGAUAACGUAGAGAAAUUUACGCUAAUACCGCAUACGAUCUAAGGAUGAAAGCGGGGGAUUCGCAAGAACCUCGCGCGAUUGGAGCGGCUGAUAUCAGAUUAGGUUGUUGGUGAGGUAAAAGCUCACCAAGCCGACGAUCUGUAGCUGGUUUGAGAGAACGACCAGCCACACUGGGACUGAGACACGGCCCAGACUCCUACGGGAGGCAGCAGUGAGGAAUAUUGGACAAUGGGCGCAAGCCUGAUCCAGCCAUGCCGCGUGCAGGAUGACGGUCCUAUGGAUUGUAAACUGCUUUAUACAGGAAGAACACUACUUCGUGAAGUAGCUUGACGGUACUGUAAGAAUAAGGAAUCGGCUAACUCCGUGCCA
rnacentral:rRNA from 1 species